rnacentral:rRNA from 1 species
AACGGCCGCGGUACCCUAACCGUGCGAAGGUAGCAUAAUCACUUGUUCUUUAAAUAAGGACUCGUAUCAACGGCAUCACGAGGGCUAUACUGUCUCCUUUCUCUAAUCAGUGAAACUGAUCUUCCCGUGAAGAAGCGGGAAUUAUUAUAUAAGACGAGAAGACCCCAUGGAGCUUUAAACUCAAUAUAUACCUCUACGCAUUUACAUCACCAUAGCCUAAGAAAAUUAUAUAUUAGUUUUGGGUUGGGGGGACCGCGGAGAAAAAAUUAACCUCCACGACAAAUAGGCCAACGCCUUUAUCCAUGGAACUACAUUCUAAGAAUCAACAAACUGAUGUUUAAUGAUCCAAUUUUUUGAUCAACGAACCAAGUUACCCUGGGGAUAACAGCGCAAUCUACUUCAAGAGCUCCUAUCGACAAGUGGGUUUACGACCUCGAUGUUGGAUCAGGGUAUCCUAGUNAUGGUCUAGCUAGUCCACCCAAGCAAAACGAAACUUUUAGUUUGAUACCCCGAAACUAAGUGAGCUACUUCAAAACAGCCCAAAGGGCCAACCCGUCUCUGUUGCAAAAGAGUGGGAAGAUUUUUAAGUAGAGGUGAAAAGCCUACCGAGCUUAGAGAUAGCUGGUUGUUCAGGAAAAGAGUUUUAGCUCUACCUUAAAUUUUUAAUGUGAUUUAAGCAUAAUCCUAAAUUUAAGAGCUAUUCUAAUAAGGCACAGCUUAUUUGAAGCAGGGUACAACCUCUAACACCGGGUAAAAAUGGGAGACCCAAACAAAGUGGGCCUAAAAGCAGCCACCUUCUAAAAAGCGUUAAAGCUUAACCAUUUAUUCUCCCCCAAUUUCUAUAUUCCUAUUUAACCCUUCACUACUACUGAACUAUUUUAUAUUUCUAUAAAAGCAAUCAUGCUAGAACUAGUAACAAGAAAAAUGCCUUUCUCCAAAAUGUAAGUAUAGACCAAAAUGGACUCACCAUUGGUAAUUAACGUAAAUGUCUUAUUAUAGCAACAUUUAACCUAGAAAACCCUAUAAACACCCACGUUAACCUUACACUAGCACAUUACAGGAAAGAUUAAAAGAGAAGAGACUCGCAACC